UUCCAGGAUAGCUCAGUCGGUAGAGCAUGAGAUUCUUAAUCUCAGGGUCAUGGGUUCGGGUUCUGCGUUGGGUAAA